rnacentral:rRNA from 1 species
GACGAACGCUGGCGGCGUGCUUAACACAUGCAGGUCGAACGCUGAAGCUCAGCUUUUGUUGGGUGGAUGAGUGGCGAACGGGUGAGUAACACGUGAGUAACCUGCCCCCUUCUUUGGGAUAACGCCCGGAAACGGGUGCUAAUACUGGAUAUUCACUGGUCUUCGCAUGGGGGUUGGUGGAAAGGGUUUUUCUGGUGGGGGAUGGGCUCGCGGCCUAUCAGCUUGGUGGUGGGGUGAUGGCCUACCAAGGCUUUGACGGGUAGCCGGCCUGAGAGGGUGACCGGUCACAUUGGGACGGAGCUGCGGCCCAGACUCGUACGGGAGGCAGAAGUGGGGAAUAUUGCACAAUGGGCGCAAGCCUGAUGCAGCGACGCCGCGUGAGGGAUGGAGGCCUUCGGGUUGUGAACCUCUUUCGCUCAUGGUCAAGCCGCAACAAUGGUUGUGGUGAGGGUAGUGGGUAAAGAAGCGCCGGCUAACUACGUG